rnacentral:rRNA from 1 species
GACGUAGGAGGCGAGCGUUAUCCGGAUUCACUGGGCGUAAAGCGCAUGUAGGCGGAUGUCUAAGUCGUGUGUUAAAGCCCCUGGCUCAACUGGGGGAGGUCAUGCGAGACUGGAUGACUUGAGGGCAACAGAGGCACGUGGAACUCCCGGUGUAGCGGUGAAAUGCGCAGAUAUCGGGAGGAACACCAGUAGCGAAGGCGGCACUCUGGGCCGGAACUGACGCUGAGGAGCGAAAGCGUGGGGAGCGAACAGG